rnacentral:rRNA from 1 species
GACGAACGCUGGCGGCGUGCUUAACACAUGCAAGUCGAACGGGAACCUUUAUUUCGGUAAAGGUGAGAGUGGCAAACGGGUGAGUAACACGUAGGCAACCUGCCGACAGGAUGGGGACAACAUUCCGAAAGGAAUGCUAAUACCGAAUGGAGUCCGGAGAUGGCAUCAUCCCCGGAUCAAAGAUGGCCUCUGAAUAUGCUAUCGCCUGUCGAUGGGCCUGCGUCUGAUUAGCCAGUUGGCGGGGUAACGGCCCACCAAAGCGACGAUCAGUAGCCGGUCUGAGAGGAUGAACGGCCACAUUGGGACUGAGACACGGCCCAGACUCCUACGGGAGGCAGCAGUGGGGAAUCUUCCACAAUGGGCGAAAGCCUGAUGGAGCAACGCCGCGUGAGUGAAGAAGGUCUUCGGAUCGUAAGC